UACGUAGGGGGCAAGCGUUGUCCGGAAUCAUUGGGCGUAAAGAGCGUGUAGGCGGCCAGAUAAGUCAGCUGUGAAAACCACGGGCUUAACUCGUGGCCUGCAGUUGAGACUGUCUGGCUUGAGUGUGGGAGAGGUGAGUGGAAUUCCCCAGUGUAGCGGUGAAAUGCGUAGAUAUCUGGAGGAACACCGGUGGCGAAGGCGGCAUCCUGGCCAACACUGACGCUGAGGAGCGAAAGCCAGGGGAGCAAACGGG
rnacentral:rRNA from 1 species